rnacentral:tmRNA from 1 species
GGGUGUGUAAAGGUUUCGACAGGGACUUUGCAGUAUCGGAAGCGAGCAGUGGGGCAAAACCACUAUAAAAUUUGCAUAAAAAAUUAACUAACAACAAUAAAGUUGCUUUAGCUGCCUAAUUAGGCGGCUCAUCCGAACCCGAACUACCGCGAUCGGGGUAGGGUGUCAUUUUAGCGGUGAACGUGAACAUUGGGUUUCUCCACCUGAUGUCACGCAGUAGGAGAUACUGAUUACAGCAGUCCGACAUUCGACGGCUGUAAAAGGGAAUGUAAAGAUAUGUCUGCGCUCGGAGAUGCCGGUAUGAAUAGGUUUUUGGACAGGAGUUCGAUUCUCCUCACAUCCACCA